rnacentral:rRNA from 1 species
AUUGAACGCUGGCGGAAUGCUUUACACAUGCAAGUCGAACGGUAACAGGUCUUCGGAUGCUGACGAGUGGCGAACGGGUGAGUAAUAUAUCGGAACGUGCCCAGUCGUGGGGGAUAACGUAGCGAAAGUUACGCUAAUACCGCAUACGAUCUAUGGAUGAAAGCGGGGGAUCGCAAGACCUCGCGCGAUUGGAGUGGCCGAUAUCAGAUUAGGUAGUUGGUGGGGUAAAGGCUCACCAAGCCAACGAUCUGUAGCUGGUCUGAGAGGACGACCAGCCACACUGGAACUGAGACACGGUCCAGACUCCUACGGGAGGCAGCAGUGGGGAAUUUUGGACAAUGGACGCAAGUCUGAUCCAGCCAUUCCGCGUGCAGGAUGAAGGCCCUCGGGUUGUAAACUGCUUUUGUACGGAACGAAAAGGUCUCUAUUAAUACUAGGGGCUCAUGACGGUACCGUAAGAAUAAGCACCGGCUAACUACGUGCCAGCCGCCGCAGUAA